GUCCACUUGGUCUAGUGGUAUGAUUGCUGGUUCGGGUCAUGUAGAUCUUCUAGCAGGUCGCGAGUUCGAUUCUCGCAGUGGACC
rnacentral:tRNA from 1 species